UACGUAGGUGGCGAGCGUUGUCCGGAAUUACUGGGUGUAAAGGGCGUGUAGGCGGGGAACCAAGUCAGAUGUGAAAUUCCAGGGCUUAACUCUGGCGCUGCAUCUGAAACUGGAUCUCUUGAGUGCUGGAGAGGAAAGCGGAAUUCCUAGUGUAGCGGUGAAAUGCGUAGAUAUUAGGAGGAACACCAGUGGCGAAGGCGGCUUUCUGGACAGUAACUGACGCUGAGGCGCGAAAGCGUGGGGAGCAAACAGG
rnacentral:rRNA from 1 species